AGUCCCAGAGCAAUGUUGCGGUCAAGAGAACACAGUCCAGCUACCAACAGUUAUUUCAAAAUAAUUCAAGCUCUUUGUUUAUAUUUCUGAAAGAAAGAAAGAAAAAAAAAGGGUGGCCCAGCUGGAAACUCGGCUUUAAGUCCCCUUUCAGGGGGCCCUCAGGUGGGCACCUGCUUGGAAACCUCUCCACCCCUCCAAACACCCUUUUCCUCUCUGAGUGUUCAUUUGUUGAUCCAGAUUCUGAAUAAAUGAAGCCGUACAGAAUCCACCUGGCAAAAAUGGAAACUGCCUGGAGGCCAGGGCUGAGGGAAGGCCUGGAGCAGAGCCGGUGCGCGACCUCGCAGUGAGCAGGGAGGGCAGGCUGGGGACGUUCACCACCCAGAACGCCUCUGCUCCCCGCAACCCUGAGACUCCAGGCUCCCCUGUUCCUCCCUCCGGGAGACCCUGCCCGUCCUCCCCGCGGGGCUCCUUCGCAGUUCGGGGGAAGGGACGGGUUGCGUCCUCGGGACCUUUCUCUGCAGCCACAGCAGCGCAUCCCAGCACCUCCUCCAGGAGCCCCGCCACCUCCUGCCACCCGGACUUUCCCCACAGCGCAGCGUCCCCUCGUCCUCUCAGGGCUGGAACAGCGGUACCCGCAGACAGUGCAAAAGGGAAGUCCCUGUUGCCUUCCCAUGCAAACUGUAGGGCGCUUACAGCUGCUGGGAGAGGAAAGGAAAGAAGAAAUACAAGCCUGUGACCCGGAUCCAACCCGCGGCGCACAGACCCCGGCUCUGGGCACCCCUGGUGAGCGCCUUCUGCGCCAGAGCUCCGUACAGCACCAGCCCGCGCUCUCCCCCAGCUUCUGUUCAUUUGCUGCAGUCCUGACGGGUCAGUUGCCUGAGCAUCCAUGCUGCCAUCCAUACAAACCCAGGCACGCAGAGAUGUACAUCCUUUACCCAGGGUGACACCAUGUGGAGCUGAAUCCAAGUCCGGGAGUCUGAUGACCGUGUCUGGGCUCUGACCGCGCAGCCGUCUCACAGUGAAACAAAUUGCGGACUGGCCUUGUCCUGAGUGGCCUUAGGAAGCUGCAGUGGCCUGCAGUCUCCUGGCCAGUCUGUAGAAUUUGGCAAAGAUGAGGCACCUUAUAGCCUUACAUGUUCUUAUUUUUCUUUCCUUUUCUCUUCUUUAUUUUCUUUUUUAAGGAUUUGAAUUAGUAUAUGUAAAGUGCUUAACGCAGGAGCUGGCAGAGAAAGUGGAUACUCAGUAAAUAACAGCAAUUGUUAAUUGUAAAAAGCAUGCCACUUAUCUGGUAAAAUCCCCCAUUCUAAGCACCCUGUUAAGUAGUUGGUAAUUCCUCACUUGAAAGAAAUUAAAAAGAAUUUUUGUCAGUUUUUUAAAAUAUUGUUUUAUUGUGAUAAAAUAUUCAUAACAUAAAUUUCACUCUUUUAAUAC
ensembl:lncRNA novel transcript